CUGCUGAAGUUGGAGGGGAAAAAUCACAUUUCUCAUACAGAGAUUACCAUGGCCCCUGCCCAAGGAUGACACACAAAUUCGUGAAGUGUUCCAUAUUCAU
ensembl:snRNA U6 U6 spliceosomal RNA